CGAACGCUGGCGGCAUGCCUACCACAUGCACGUCGAACGAGACCUUCGGGUCUAGUGGCGCACGGGUGCGUAACGCGUGGGAACCUGCCCUUAGGUUCGGAAUAACUCCCCGAAAGGGGUGCUAAUACCGGAUAAUGUCUUCGGACCAAAGAUUUAUCGCCUUUGGAUGGGCCCGCGUUGGAUUAGCUAGUUGGUAGGGUAAAAGCCUACCAAGGCGACGAUCCAUAGCUGGUCUGAGAGGAUGAUCAGCCACACUGGGACUGAGACACGGCCCAGACUCCUACGGGAGGCAGCAGUGGGGAAUAUUGGACAAUGGGCGAAAGCCUGAUCCAGCAAUGCCGCGUGAGUGAUGAAGGCCUUAGGGUUGUAAAGCUCUUUUACCCGGGAUGAUAAUGACAGUACCGGGAGAAUAAGCGCCGGCUAACUCCGUG
rnacentral:rRNA from 1 species